UGGGGAAUAUUGGACAAUGGGGGCAACCCUGAUCCAGCAAUGCCGCGUGAGUGAUGAAGGCCUUCGGGUUGUAAAGCUCUUUCGCCCGCGACGAUGAUGACGGUAGCGGGAGAAGAAGCCCCGGCUAACUUCGUGCCAGCAGCCGCGGUAAUACGAAGGGGGCGAGCGUUGUUCGGAUUUACUGGGCGUAAAGGGCGCGUAGGCGGCGAUGCAAGUCAGGCGUGAAAGCCCCGGGCUCAACCUGGGAGGUGCGCUUGGGACUAUAUUGCUGGAGUUCGGGAGAGGAGCGUGGAAUUCCCAGUGUAGAGGUGAAAUUCGUAGAUAUUGGGAAGAACACCGGUGGCGAAGGCGGCGCUCUGGACCGAGACUGACGCUGAGGCGCGAAAGCGUGGGGAGCAAACAGGAUUAGAUACCCCUGUAGUCC
rnacentral:rRNA from 1 species